rnacentral:snRNA from 1 species
GUGCUAGUUUCAGCAGCACAUAUACUAAAAUUGGAAUGAUGCAGAGAAGAUUAGCAUGUCCCCUGCAUAAGGAUGACAUGCAAUUUCAUGAAGUGUUUCAUAUUUUA